GACAGAGGUGCCGAGCGUUAGGCGGAAUCACUGGGCUUAAAGCGUGUGUAGGCGGAUCCGUAAGUACCUUGUGAAAUCCCACGGCUCAACCGUGGAACUGCUCGGUAUACUGCGGAUCUUGAGCCACCUAGGGGCGAGCGGAACAAGUGGUGGAGCGGUGAAAUGCGUAGAUAUCACUUGGAACGCCAAUGGUGAAAACAGCUCGCUGGGGGUGUGCUGACGCUGAGACACGAAAGCCAGGGGAGCAAACGGG
rnacentral:rRNA from 1 species